CAGCACCUCAAGUGGUCAGGAUGAUUAUUGGGCCUAAAGCAUCCGUAGCCGGCUCUGUAAGUUUUCGGUUAAAUCUGUAUGCUCAACAUACAGGCUGCCGGGAAUACUGCAGAGCUAGGGAGUGGGAGAGGUAGACGGUACUCGGUAGGAAGGGGUAAAAUCCUUUGAUCUAUUGAUGACCACCUGUGGCGAAGGCGGUCUACCAGAACACGUCCGACGGUGAGGGAUGAAAGCUGGGGGAGCAAACCGGAUUAGAUACCCGAGUAGUC
rnacentral:rRNA from 1 species